rnacentral:rRNA from 1 species
UGGGGAAUUUUGGACAAUGGGCGAAAGCCUGAUCCAGCAAUGCCGCGUGUGUGAAGAAGGCCUUCGGGUUGUAAAGCACUUUUGUCCGGAAAGAAAUCCUUGGCUCUAAUACAGUCGGGGGAUGACGGUACCGGAAGAAUAAGCACCGGCUAACUACGUGCCAGCAGCCGCGGUAAUACGUAGGGUGCAAGCGUUAAUCGGAAUUACCGGGCGUAAAGCGUGCGCAGGCGGUUUGCUAAGACCGAUGUGAAAUCCCCGGGCUCAACCUGGGAACUGCAUUGGUGACUGGCAGGCUAGAGUAUGGCAGAGGGGGGUAGAAUUCCACGUGUAGCAGUGAAAUGCGUAGAGAUGUGGAGGAAUACCGAUGGCGAAGGCAGCCCCCUGGGCCAAUACUGACGCUCAUGCACGAAAGCGUGGGGAGCAAACAGGAUUAGAUACCCUGGUAGUCCACGCCCUAAACGAUGUCAACUAGUUGUUGGGGAUUCAUUUCCUUAGUAACGUAGCUAACGCGUGAAGUUGACCGCCUGGGGAGUACGGUCGCAAGAUUAAAACUCAAAUGAAUUGACGGGGUCAUAGCUGUUUCC